rnacentral:rRNA from 1 species
GACGAACGCUGGCGGCGUGCCUAAUACAUGCAAGUAGAACGCACAGUUUAUACCGUAGCUUGCUACACCAUAAACUGUGAGUUGCGAACGGGUGAGUAACGCGUAGGUAACCUGCCUGGUAGCGGGGGAUAACUAUUGGAAACGAUAGCUAAUACCGCAUAAUAUUGAUUAUUGCAUGAUAAUUGAUUGAAAGAUGCUAUUGCAUCACUACCAGAUGGACCUGCGUUGUAUUAGCUAGUAGGUGAGGUAACGGCUCACCUAGGCGACGAUACAUAGCCGACCUGAGAGGGUGGUCAGCCACACUGGGACUGAGACACGGCCCAGACUCCUACGGGAGGCAGCAGUAGGGAAUCUUCGGCAAGGGACGAAAGUCUGACCGAGCAACGCCGCGUGAGUGAAGAAGGUUUUCGGAUCGUAAAGCUCUGUUGUAAGAGAAGAACGGGUGUGAGAGUGGAAAGUUCACACUGUGACGGUAUCUUACCAGAAAGGGACGGCUAACUACGUG